rnacentral:rRNA from 1 species
CGAAGACUCACCAGCGGUAAGCCCGUGAGUUGGAUGCUGAGUGCGAGGGUUGGAAAGCAGAACUACCAGGGUAGCGGUGAAAUGCGUAGAUAUGGAGAAGAUCAUCGGUGGCGAUGGCGGCUUUUUUGGACUGUAAAUGACAUGAGGCACGAAAAGGUGGGGAGCAAACAGGAUUAGAUUCCCUGGUAGUACAGGCCGUAAACGAUGAGCAUAGGUGUCGGGGCCUAACAGCCCCGGUACCGGAGAUAACUCAUUAAGCGCUCCGCCUGGGGAGUACGCACGCAAGUGUGAAACUCAAAGGAAUUGACGGGGACCCGCACAAGCAGAGGAGCAUGUGGUUUAAUUCGAAGCAACGCGAAGAACCUUGCCAGGGCUUGGCAUCCCGCCGACAGGGGCCCAAAAGCCCCCUCCCUCGGGCGGCGGAGACAGGUGGUGCAUGGUUGUCGUCAGCUCGUGUCGUGAGAUGUUGGGUUAAGUCCCGCAACGAGCGCAACCCUUGCUUCUAGUUGCCAGCGCGUCAAGGCGGGCACUAUAGAAGGACUGCCGGGGAUAUCUGGGAGGAAGGUGGGGACGACGUCAAAUCAUCAUGCUCCUUAUGCCCUGGGCUACACACGUGCUGCAAUGGCCGGCACAGCGGGAUGAGAAGAGGGGACGCGGAGCGAUUCACGAAAACCGGCCCCAGUUCGGAUCGCAGGCUGAAACCCGCCUGCGUGAAGCCGGAGUAGCUAGUAAUCGCGGAUCAGAACGCCGCGGUGAAUAAGUUACCGGGUCUUGUACACACCGCCCAUCACACCAUGAAGUUGGGGGCGCCGGAAGUCGGCCGGCAAAUAGCCAGCCUAAGACGAAUUCAG